UACCUAUAACACCCCCUACACCUACAAUCCCUUGUUCAGGGACUCUCUUCUCUAUCAGAAUAUAAGCUCCAUGGAGGCAGGGAUCAUUUGUAGCUUAUUUUCUACUCUAUCCAUAGAGCUUAAAUUAGUGCCUGGUACAGAGUAAAAGCUUAAAUGGGAGAAAGAACUGUUCAAUGGAUGAAUAAAAGAAGGAUCAAAUGAAUGGAUGAAUCCAUGCAUGCCUAUGUGAAUGAAUGAAUAAAACAACCAGAGGUGGCCAACCAGAGACUUGGCUUUUUCAUAGCCUCAUUAAGUGAUGCGACUGUAUCCUGUCCAUGUUCAGAUUGAGGUUCUAAGAUCCAUUUCCUCCAAGAAGACAUCAUUCACAAGGGAUGGAGUCUAUGGGGAAACACUGCCACUUCCCCAAGAGAGCCAUGAAUAUUUGUGAGAUGCCAACUGCUACUUGGAGCCUCCCCACUGUACUCUCCGUGUCAUUCUUUUCCUGUCCUCCAUCAGCAGAAGCACCGCUGGACAGUCAAGCUCUGUGCUCAUACUUUGUAGGCACCGUCUGCUGUCCUGCACAAUGGCCACAUGGAGGACCUGUGGACAUGGGACUUUGCAGCCCCACUUUACUGAGGCGGUUCAUAUCAAGAAUGUAGAUCUGCUUCAAGAAAAUGCCCAAGAGUUAUAGCUGGGUUAUCAGAAAUUUAUCUUUUUGAGUCUUUUUGGCUACUUAUUUAGUUCUUUGUUGGAAAAUUAACAAAGGGCCUUGCAUCAGAAAGCCUAGACAUGGAUUCCGUACCUCCCUCACCACUACUGGCUAUGAUGAGUCUUUGGGAAAAGCACUUAACUGCUUCUAGACCUCACAUUCAUCCUAAAAUGGGUGGGCACACUCACAACAUAUCAGUCCAACACACACCAGAAACAAAGUAGUUUUGUGUUCCUCGUUCCUUCACAUCUCAGGUCCUCAUUUCCUCAGUACGAGGGUCUUCUUUAAACUCUCAAAUCCUAAGAUUCUGCACUGUCAGUUUCUUCUGUAGUCAUUCAAUGACUCCACAAACAUGUUUAGGAUGCUAUUUUGUGUUAAAAGUUUCUGCUCCUACUUACUGCCCCCUACACACAUGCCUUGACCCAAUUGGCUCAAAACAUAAGAACAUUUAGCUUCUGGCUCUCAUUUAAAAUGCAGAACAAGUGUACUGGUAUCAGACGGCCUCGGUCAAAAUCUCUGCUCCAUUCUUUACUGGCUAUGUGAUCUUAGUUUGAAAAGGACUUCAUCUCUCUAUGCCUUUUCUGUGAAAUGGAGGUAAGAGGAGGACUUACCCCAUAGAACAUCAUGACAACAAAAUGCAUUAAUACCAUGCCUAGCUCACACCAGCCACUCAGUGUUAGCUAUUACUAUUAUCUGUAAUUGACUCUGCAAGAACUACAGAUUACUCAAUAAGAAAGUUAGCCAGGAGGUAAAACUCACAGAAGAAUGCAGAGGACAAAUCUUAAAUAAGAUGCUGAGAAUCACAGUGUUUCUUAUACGGAAGGGUCUGUUCAAUCAACUUCACAAGGACUCCUAUCAGGAUUUCAGAGGAAUUAAGGAAGCCACCACUUCCAUGACUUCCCUCCCCUGCACACACAGAAUACCUAAGAAGCAAUUACAUAGCAGAACGAAAUAAUAAACACAAUCAUAU